UUAAAAUUAAACCGCGAUUGUCGGCUUAGUCUCUCUUUUUCGUUUGAUCAUAUUUCUAUAUUGAGUGACUAGACCGAACACUCGCGCUAUAAUUUUAAAAU
rnacentral:pre_miRNA from 1 species